GGAUUCAAUUUUGAUAAUAUUAAUCGUUCGGGUUCGAAAUACGGUGGUUUUCGCGGGUGCCUACCCGUUGCCAUCUCAAAGGAGGACAGUAGGAUUGACGGGCGGAAGCGUCGGAGAAGAGCACGGCCUCCAAUCUUUUGACGCCGAUCUCGUUGCUCUGUGCAGGAUGUUCUGAAGAAAGAUAGUGGUGGCUAUAAUAAGAUUGUAGCAGCAUUUGGAAAAGAUAUCUUGCAAGCUAAUGGAGAAGCUGAUAGGGCAAAGCUGGCUAGAUUUUAUUCUCUGAUCCUGCAAAAGAUCAACUUCUUUAUCAGUAUUGAUAGUGUGAUCGGGUGUUUGAUCAACAAUAAAAGUUUUAUAGUUUAUAACCUCUGUAUGAUAAUGAAGGCAUGUAGCAAUACUUAAUUUAUUUAGUUCAAUAGAGGCGGGAAAGUUUGUUAAAUGGUGCAGAUUACCAAGCUGAGUUGUCAGCUUAUCAUUGGAAACCAAGUUAGUUUGUUGUGGUACAGCUCUGUAUGUAAAGAUGAGACUGAAGAUCAAUAAUAUUCAUUCUGUUUCUCCCGAA